rnacentral:misc_RNA from 1 species
CCAUGUCUUUUGAGUACCUUCGUUUCCUCGGUGGGUUCNCCCGCCGGUUGGACAACACUUAAACCCUUUGUAAUUGAAAUCAGCGUCUGAAAAAACUUAAUAGUUACAACUUUCAACAACGGAUCUCUUGGUUCUGGCAUCGAUGAAGAACGCAGCGAAAUGCGAUAAGUAGUGUGAAUUGCAGAAUUCAGUGAAUCAUCGAAUCUUUGAACGCACAUUGCGCCCCUUGGUAUUCCAUGGGGCAUGCCUGUUCGAGCGUCAUUUGUACCUUCAAGCUCUGCUUGGUGUUGGGUGUUUGUCUCGCCUCUGCGCGCAGACUCGCCUCAAAACGAUUGGCAGCCGGCGUAUUGAUUUCGGAGCGCAGUACAUCUCGCGCUUUGCACUCAGAACGACGACGUCCAAAAAGUACAUUUUUACACUCUUGACCUCGGAUCAGGUAGGGAUACCCGCUGAACUUAAGCAUAUCAUUAAGCGGAGGA